AGGAUGAACGCUGGCGGCGUGCUUAACACAUGCAAGUCGAACGAUGAAGCGGAGCUUGCUCUGUGGAUUAGUGGCGAACGGGUGAGUAACACGUGAGUAACCUGCCCUUGACUCUGGGAUAAGCACUGGAAACGGUGUCUAAUACCGGAUACGAGCUUCAGCCGCAUGGCUAGGAGUUGGAAAGAAUUUCGGUCAAGGAUGGACUCGCGGCCUAUCAGGUAGUUGGUGAGGUAAUGGCCCACCAAGCCUACGACGGGUAGCCGGCCUGAGAGGGUGACCGGCCACACUGGGACUGAGACACGGUCCAGACUCCUACGGGAGGCAGCAGUGGGGAAUAUUGCACAAUGGGCGCAAGCCUGAUGCAGCAACGCCGCGUGAGGGACGACGGCCUUCGGGUUGUAACCUCUUUUAGUAGGGAAGAAGCGAAAGUGACGGUACCUGCAGAAAAGCACCGGCUAACUACGUGCCAGCAGCCGCGGU
rnacentral:rRNA from 1 species